CAAGCAAGUAAGAUCCCUCAGAGACGAUGAGGUAGAUAGGUUCGGGGUGGAAGCGUGGCGACACGUGCAGCUGACGAAUACUAAUCGAUCGAGGACUUAACCAAU
rnacentral:rRNA from 1 species